rnacentral:rRNA from 1 species
UUUUGGACAAUGGGGGCAACCCUGAUCCAGCAAUGCCGCGUGCGUGAAGAAGGCCUUCGGGGUGUAAAGCUCUUUCGGUGGGAACGAAAUGAGGCGGGUGAACAAUCCGUCUCGACAACGGUACUCACAGAAGAGGCACCGGCUAACUAGGUGCCAACAGCCGCGGUAAUACGUAGGGUGCGAGCGUUAAUCGGAAUUACUGGGCGUAAAGCGUGCGUAGGCGGCGCGCUAAGCCAGGUGUGAAAGCCCCGGGCUUAACCUGGGAAUGGCGCUUGUGACUGGCGGGCUCGAGUGCGGCAGAGGGAGGUGGAAUUCCACGUGUAGCAGUGAAAUGCGUAGAGAUGUGGAGGAACACCGAUGGCGAAGGCAGCCUCCUGGGCCGACACUGACGCUCAAGCACGAAAGCGUGGGGAGCAAAC